AGAGUUGUAUCCUGGCUCAGAACGAACGCUGGCGGCAGGCCUAACACAUGCAAGUCGAGCGCGCCUUCGGGUGAGCGGCGGACGGGUUAGUAACGCGUGGGAACGUGCCCUUCUCUACGGAAUAGCCUCUGGAAACGGAGAGUAAUACCGUAUACGCCCUUUGGGGGAAAGAUUUAUCGGAGAAGGAUCGGCCCGCGUUAGAUUAGGUAGUUGGUGGGGUAAUGGCCUACCAAGCCUACGAUCUAUAGCUGGUUUUAGAGGAUGAUCAGCAACACUGGGACUGAGACACGGCCCAGACUCCUACGGGAGGCAGCAGUGGGGAAUCUUAGACAAUGGGGGCAACCCUGAUCUAGCCAUGCCGCGUGAGUGAUGAAGGCCUUAGGGUCGUAAAGCUCUUUCGCCUGUGAUGAUAAUGACAGUAGCAGGUAAAGAAACCCCGGCUAACUCCGUGCCAGCAGCCGCGGUAAUACGGAGGGGGUUAGCGUUGUUCGGAAUUACUGGGCGUAAAGCGCGCGUAGGCAGAUUAGAAAGUUGGGGGUGAAAUCCCGGGGCUCAACCCCGGAACUGCCUCCAAAACUGCUAGUCUAGAGUUCGAGAGAGGUGAGUGGAAUUCCGAGUGUAGAGGUGAAAUUCGUAGAUAUUCGGAGGAACACCAGUGGCGAAGGCGGCUCACUGGCUCGAUACUGACGCUGAGGUGCGAAAGUGUGGGGAGCAAAC
rnacentral:rRNA from 1 species